rnacentral:rRNA from 1 species
UAGGAUAGAGGCCUACCAUGGUGGUAACGGGUAACGGGGUGUUAGGGCACGACACCGGAGAGGGAGCCUGAGAAACGGCUACCACAUCCAAGGAUGGCAGCAGGCGCGCAAAUUACCCAAUCCCGACACGGGGAGGUAGUGACAAUAAAUAACAAUACGGGGUUCUCUAGGAUCUCGUAAUUGGAAUGAGUACAAUUUAAAUCUCUUAACGAGGAACAAUUGGAGGGCAAGUCUGGUGCCAGCAGCCGCGGUAAUUCCAGCUCCAAUAGCGUAUAUUAAAGUUGUUGCAGUUAAAAAGCUCGUAGUUGAAUUUCGGGGUUAGUAGGUUGGUCAUGCCUCUGGUAUGUACUGGUCUCACUGAUUCCUCCUUCCUGAUGAGCCGUAAUGCCAUUAAUUUGGUGUUGCGGGGAAUUUGGACUGUUACUUUGAAAAAAUUAGAGUGUUUAAAGCAAGCUAACGCUUGAAUACAUUAGCAUGGAAUAAUGAAAUAGGACGUUCGAUCCUAUUUUGUUGGUUUCUAGGAUCGACGUAAUGAUUAAUAGGGAUAGUUGGGGGCAUUAGUAUUCAAUUGUCAGAGGUGAAAUUCUUGGAUUUAUUGAAGACUAACUACUGCGAAAGCAUUUGCCAAGGAUGUUUUCAUUAAUCAAGAACGAAAGUUAGGGGAUCGAAGACGAUCAGAUACCGUCGUAGUCUUAACCAUAAACUAUGCCGACUAGGGAUCGGAUGAUGUUAAUUUUUUAAUGACUCAUUCGGCGCCUUACGGGAAAC